ACGCUGAGCAACUCCUUGGCUGGAGGCGACGAGCCGUUUUCUUCUGGUUUCUGAUCGGUCUCUGAUCUGGGAGCCGACCUGCUUCUUCGGAACCGUUUAGCUCCUUCUAACGGCUUCCUUUGGAGCACGUCGGCGUUGUGGUUAUCAGGUACCAAUGCUCGUUGAAUACUGUUGUCAGACAUUGGUUUAGGUUGCGAAUUGCCGUCAGAAUCAAAAACCUAUUAUUCAGAGAAUGUCACACGUUACAGAUAAGCGAGAAGGAAGUUUAGAAGCUCAUCAAAUAUCAGGUAAAAAUUAAGGCAAGACGGUGGAUAUGCACUGAAUUGCAUGGACAACUGAGAGACAUUUUUUUUCCUAUCACCAUCAUUCUAAGCAUUGAAUUUUUUAACUGCAGGUCAAAGAGAGGCAGACAAAGUAAGAACAUCUUAGCAGACUAUGUACAAAUCGACCCUUAAAAACGCGUAUAAGGGGCAUUGUUGACCAUUUUUACGGUACGAAAUUGUCCCGGACAGAACAGACCCUGUAAAUGGAACUGUAUUCCACUAUAGUUUUUCUUUUUCUUUUUUCCUUACGUCCCGGCGAGCCGUCUCCUGCCACGGCGUGCCUCGCCCGCCUCGCCUCCGUCUCAUCUUGGCGCCGCCCGUUCCUGGUCAUGCAUGCAGUGAAGGAGGCCUGCGUCGUCUGCCCCCGAUUGAGCUCGGCACUGCCCGCCGCCGCGCGUACGUUUCCCCGUCGUGGCCGUGCGAGCUCCCCCACCCUGCUCCGCCCUUCUUCGGUGCCGCCCACCCUGAUUCAGGCCGCCGGUAGCCUGCUUCAUCCUGCCCGUGGACGGCCGCGUCUUGGCAGUGAAGGUCGAGCUGGCCGUAAUUCGGAUCGACGGCGACAAAUUUCGGCGUGCGGCGGCUUCUUUUGACAUGCAGUGACGGAUUCCGGUGAGUUUCAGAUAGAUUCCGGCCAGUUCCGCGGCGACGCGUUUGCUCCGACGAGGUUUGACCAGUUUACGGGUUGAACUGUAUACUGCUUUCAAAAGUGCACAUAUAAGGUUUUCACCGAUGGAUUUAGCGUGGCCUUUAAAAAGUUUACAGGUCGAACAAGUUUUACGGGGUCUGAUCCACGCCGUUUUUCCGAUCGAAACUGUAAACAUUUCAUUUUUUUACGGGUUUAACCAGUUUAUGGGGUCUGCUAGAAGGCCAAUACUUACUAGUAGAUGUUAUCUUGAAUUCCUGAUGUUGACUUUCUGGGCCUUUAGGCACAGAAUUCUCCUCUUAUCCAGUAUAAAAAUAAGGGCCGAUUCCUAUUUACCUAUUCUGUCGCUUUCUCUCUGGACAAAGUCGCACUGCUACUGGCUCAGAUCGGAUCUCUACAGCUAGCUUAAUCUGCAACCCAAGGAACUGAGAAGCUAAGUGCUGGAAAGUUAACCUUGAUGAGAGACGAAAAGGGGAAGCGAGACGAGCAGGGGAAGCAUUUCCCACUCUGCUAUACAACAGUAGCAUCUACUCGUGUUGAAGCUACAUACAGAAUCAAAGCCAUUCGCACGAAGCAAGCAGAGCACAGUUCAGAAGGCAGAGAGAUUAUCAUCCCUUACCUCCCUCCGGCCGACGGAAGCUGGGCGACGCUUUGGGGUGUCGAGGCGCCUUUCUUACUCCUUUUCUUCUUCUUCUUCUUCCCUCGAGCUCUACUGCUUUGCUCAGCUGAUCGAUCUCCUCCCGCUCCGCGUUGGCUCGCUUUUUGUCGACCCGAGCUGCGACCUGAGGCCUGGGCUGAGAGGCACGGAGAUGGGGACGCACGCACGCGCCACGACGGCCGCGCCGGAUCUCUCUACGUGUUGGCGCCGCGUGGGUUGAGCUGUAGAGGUCCCGCCGCUUUGACGUGGCCGGCCCCACCGUGCCGGCGCAAGUUGGAACCCUUCGCCUCGCCGUUUUGUUGACCUUCCUGACCCGGAGGGGGCGCGGCGCGAACCGAUCUGGCGGGUCCAGGUCGGUUGGCCGCAGGCAAAAUUCAGCAGGACUGCUGCUCCGUUUCUCAGAUCAAGAUCCAACUGAGAUCGGAUCCGAGCUCGGCAUGUUUAGCUGAACGAAAUGCAACCGUGCAAGGAGGUGGGGUGCGGGCGUCCAGCGAAUCGGGAUAAGAAAGGGCCUACAUGUCACUCUCUCCCCUCGUGCCUCGUGCCCUUCAUGAAAGCUCCACCCACCGGCCACCGCCCCCAUCACUCUCUGGUAUCGUUGCUCAUUCAAGAACGAUGUUUCUAGCUUGCUUUGCGACGCGGUAGGAACAUUUAAUAAAGAUGUCAAUCAGCCAAUGGGUUGGUUUUUGCACGGGUUGACCAAUCCCAUUGUUAGAUUCUGGAGGCCUCUCAGGGCGCUUGCAAUUUCGGCCGUCGGAUUGCGUUUUCAAACGAAUUCGGUCCGUCGGAUCUUCCUGGCCAUAAUGUGUGUGCUCUUCUCUAAUUACUAGCAAAAUGACCCGUGCGUUGCAACGGAAGAAAAAAACAUAAUCUUCAAUGAUGAUGACCACAUUAUGUUCACACAUAAUCGCUUGAUUUCGAAAUUUUGUGCACAAAUGCAAGAAAAUGUUUCUUCUUUUAAAUUUAUUCACAAGUUGAAGCAAUCUUUGCAUUUUCAAAAAAAAUAUAUAUAUCAUGGUUGUCAAAAAUCUUGGUAACUCAAAGAAUUAUUCUUAAUUUCAAGAUUUUUUUUUAGAAACACAUACAAUAAUAAUUCGAUCCAUCCAACAAUUAAUUCUUCAAAAAUCACACGGGUAUAUUUUCACAAAGACUUAGAAGCAUUAAUGUUUAACUACAUACAUUAGAUCUUUCAUGAACAAUUUUACAAAUAUGAGAACAAUUUUAAAAUUAAGAACUUUUUUUACAAUUUACAAACAUUUACUAAAAAUUGUGAAUAUUUUUUAUAUUUCAAACGGGUUUAAAUAUUUUCUUUUGAAUUGGCGACCAAUUCUAGAAAAGACGAACAUAAGUUUUUAUGUUGCAGGAUUUUACUUUAAAUUCACAAACAUUUUUGAAACGCAUGAAGUUUUGCUGAAUAAACAAACAUUUUUAUAAGUCAGUAAUAUAUUUAUUAAAUUCAUGACAUUGUUUUUGAAUUUGCAAAAUUUUUUAUAAAAAUCCGGCGCCUUUUUUGAAUCCACAAACAUUUUAUGUUUUCGUCAACAUUUAAUUCGAAAUUCCUAUUUUUUAAUAUGCAAAUGCUUUUGUAAUUCUAAAUUAUUUAAAUUAGAAGUAAACAAAAAUGGAACGGACAAAAUUAAAUAAAAAAGAAACUAUCAAAACAGGCAUUAGCUAUUUUUAAAUGCAUUAACAUAUUUUGAAUUAGAAAGCAUUUUGUUAAAUGCUUUUAAUAAUUUUUAAUACAUGGAAUUUGAUUUGAAAUCAUGGACUUUUCUUAUUGUAUAAACAUUUUUUCAAACUUGCAAACAUUUUAUUGUAUAUGCGAGCAUUUUUUAUAAAGACUCCGAGCAGUUUUUGAAGUCACAAACAUUUUAUUUUUUAAAAUAUGUUGAUUUAAAAUUUUAAGUUUAUUAAAAGUUUAAAGGUUAUUUGAAGUUCUAAAUUAUUUAAAAUAGAAAAAUAAAAUGGAACUGAAGAUAAAUAAAUAAUUGGAACUAAAAAAACUGAUGCCUGUGCAUGGGCCGGCCAAUACGGUGUGCUGGAUAUUCUCUCGGGGUGCAGAGCGGAGGUUUUUACAUGGGCCGGCCCAGUCUGAGAUUUUUCGUUUUGUGAAACGUUUUCUAUUACAUACCGGUGACAUGGUGGGUAAUUUAUGCAAACUUUAUGGGCAAUUUUCAUGACGUACCACAUAAGCAAUAGGUGCUUUAUUAAUAUCUCUAAUCUCUAACUAGACCAUGAUGGCGCGUGUUGCCGCGCCCGUCCAUUUGGUAAAUGGUAGAAAUUUAGUGAAAUAAAUUAAGACGUGAAACAUGGAAAUCAAAUUUUCAUCACGAACAAUGAUGCACUAAAGGUCAUGCCAAGAUGAAAAAUAUGAAAAUAAUCUAUUGGUGUAGUGGGCUUACAAUAUGUGUUCGUGGCCAUGCAAAUGUAUGAAAUAAAGAGUACAUGUCGAGGGCUACACUUGGCAUCACAAAUUCAAAUACAAGGAAUGAUAUCCAGAAGGUACCUUUAUAGCACAUCAAUAACACACCAUCCUCUAUUUUUGUACGUCCGUGUGUGUUCCUUCCAUCAAGCAGUUGAAGAAAAUUAUGUGCGGAAAUUGUGCUACCGCAAGAAAAAUAAUUGUAAUGCUCGGUGCACAUAUUCUGCAAUAACUUGGCUUGUGCUAAGCAAUUAGUUAACUAUUCAUGUCCCUUUCUAUACCGAACCACCGUCUAUCUAUCAUGCCAUCAUUUUUGUUUGUCGUCAUAAACGAUAUGGAUUCAUAUGAAACAAUAGAUAUAGUCUAAUAAAUUGCACUUGAAACCAGUUACCUCUUGCCUGAUGUCCUCGUGACCACCAUAAUAAUUUCUUAAAUCACCCUUCAGCCUUCCAUUCAUUUGAAGCUACAAAAAGAACACACUGGAAGAAAAAAAUACUAAGAGAUGAUCAAGGUAAACACACACAUAAUGGGAUCCAACCAUGGAAAAAAUGGUGCGGGAUUCAAUAAAGAAGAAAAAAGAGGAGGAUCCAUUGCUCCAGCCCGAUCUCAUGAAUGAGAAGAUCAUGAAGACAGGAAGCCUCAAAGAAAUAGGAGGUGCAAGGAUCAUGCUCGUCAUUAAUUUGCCCAUAAUCCCAGUGUUUAUUCUGUCAUCAGUCAACAUAAACAAUGAAAUAAUUUUGGAAAAAAUCACAUUUUUUAUGUAGAAGCAGCAAUUAGAUUAUUAACAAUUGAUAAAUAUGGUAUUGCAUUUAACUGAAUGUAAAAUGGAGUACCGGGCUAAUCUUGCAAAGACACACCCCUGCAGUAGUAAAGUUUCAUCUGCUGCGCCUUCGGUGAGAGAUUCUAAUGUCUGUAUCAAGGGUUCAGAGAAAGGUAGUCAGCCAUGAGAAAAUCAAACACGAACUAAUCAAUCUUACAACUUGUCAUGACGUCCAUGUAGUUCUCAGUAGGAAGAAGGUCACACCAACGAGGAUCAGGUGUGCUUGUUCGUCGGCCCCAUCAUGCUUUUCUCCACCAUCUGUUUGCUUUCUAUCUCUCUAACCAAUCGAUCAAGAACCAUCGUGAUAGAUUGGAGAUCGGAGUGAAAAUAUUAUACUUGUUCUUGAUUCAGUCACAGCAUACUUUGUCGAGUACGUGAGGUCCAUCCACAAAAUCAUUUAGGAGAGCACAAACACAACACCCAGAAUUCAAAACCGAGAGAGAUCAGGUGAGGAGUAGAGGAGGAAAUCCGCGAACUUACGAAGUGGCCCAGGAACGGUGGCGGCAGCUCCAUCCCAAUCGUCCAUGUUGCUACACGAGGAGGCUGGGGCGAAGGGGGUCGUCGUGGGGUUCCGAUUGUUUGUGCCGCCGUCGCCGUAGAUGGGGAGAAUAGGGGAGUUGCUCUAGAACCGUCGCCUUCGCACCUGCACGGAAUCGCACAAACGCUCGUCAUCCGUCGGUGCUUAAUGGGCUGGUCGCUUGGGCCUAAUCAACGAGGAUACUGCGUUUCGGCCACGAGAGUAGCCUCCCCUUAGGACAGCCAGCCCACGAAACACAAACAUGACACACAGAUCAGACCGAACGGCUAGAAAUGGUUUGAUCAGAAAAAUUAACGGUCCAAACAUCUCAUGGCGUGAGAAGAUAGGGAUUAGGCUCAGUUUUACUGUCCUAAAUUUGUUAACCCCAGUUCACUUUGGGUCCAUAAGGUGUGUGUUCUUCUCCAAUCCAUACUCUUGAUGCUUCGUGUGAUUACUUUUGCAGCAGUUUCAGUUUGUUGUAAUGAGAUUGCUCAUAUUCUGUUGAACUCAAACUCUGUAGGGCUCCCAACAUUUUGAAGACAUAUUAUCUACUCCCUCCGUUUCUAAAUAUAAGACCUUUUAGAGAUUAUAUUAUAAACUACAUAUGGAUGUACAUAGACAUAUUUUAGAGUAUAGAUUCACUCAUUUUGCUUUGUAUAUAGUCUUCUAGUGAAAUACCUAAAAUGUCUUAUAUUUUGGAACGGAGGGAGUAGUUAUUUUACUAGCUUGGUCUCAGCUAAGGAACUGUUGGAGCUUCCUUGCCACUUGAGAAGAGCUUGCAUUGCAUAUGCUGGCAAGCUCGCUCCUUUGUAGUGGUAUAUUCCUCGAAUGAGAGACUAUGAUGUAAGUCUCUGUGUGUGUGUGCGCGCGCGCGCCUGAAUAGAAACUCUGGGUGUUCACUUAGUUCUCCCAGGUCAUCAUCUCAUGGAAGCAAACUCCUAUUUGCCUGAGACCUCAUUAGAUAGAUUGCCGUUUGCCUUGCAAUUCUGGACCCAGGAGCAACAAAUCCAAGAAAAAAAUACAUCUACACAGGCUACCAUAUUGGAAGCUGGAAAUAUUUCAUGACUGGAAAACAAUAGCUUAACAAACUUCAUUUACACAGGUACACAAGCUUAUCAAAGCAUCACCAAAUACCUCUUUCUUACACAUGUCCAGGUGCAUAUGAGCAGAUCCAUUGUGUUAAAUACAUGUAGGAGCUCAACAAGGUCAUAUCUUUUGACACUUUACAAGAUUACAGAACUAAUUAACAGCAUUAACCGACCAUUCAACUAUAGUAUUUAAGCUGUAGAAUUAAGUACAAGCCCAUAUGUUCAUCACCGACCGGAUUGUGCAUGAGUAAGGUCAUAGGUGGAGAGCGUGCCGGACUGGUCAACGUCGAGUUUCUCAAACUCCUCUAGAAAAGAAGAUAUGUCUUCUUGGCUGAUCUUCCCCAGUUCUUUGAGCUUGUACACGACAAAUUCAGCAGCACUGCACAUAUCAAAGUUCACAAAUCAACACCGAUGCUCAUUACCUGCAAAAUCUUAAGGGAUAUGAUGGCGAGGAAGAAUACUAAAAAUGCUUUAUGCGCUUACCCCACUUUUCGAUCAUUAUCCAGAUCAGCUGCUUCAAGAUCCAUGUUUGUUAUUCUCCGUGUGAGAACCCAUUUGGCCAGCAUUUUCUGCCGUCGCUCGGUGUAGAUCUCAGCAAGGUACAUGAAGAACAGCGCCAGGAUUAUGGUGCUCGUAAUUAUCCAAAAUACCGCGAAAGUGCGCCCCAAUUUGGACGAGAAGCUUUUAUCCCCAUAGCCCAGGGCAGUUAUUGUGGCACAGACACAAUAAAAGGAAUCAACAAGGCUCAGCUUCUCAACCUUCCAGAGAAAAACAGUCCCCACAACAAUGGUUGUCACAAGAAGUAGGGCAGCAGUGUAGAAUUUGUACUUUGUCUUGUUUGUCUCAAUUUGCCUGAGCAUUUUGGCCUCGCUAAACUUCAUGUUCAUGUGCAGUGCCUUGAAGAACAGCACCUCCUGCUUCUCGACGAGAUAAUCUGCCGACUUGCUCACAAAGAGAGCAAUAAACGCCAUGCCGGUGAAGACGAAAACACAGGCGAGGAGCUUCGCCGUGUCACUGUGAGGGACAAGGUCUCCAUAACCAACCGAUGUCAUCGUGACAAUACAGAAGUAGAGUGCGUCAAGCACCCUGUUGGUUCUCUUGCCAGAUAACUGAUCCAUGACAAGGUAAAAGACGACGACGCCCGCUAGCAGGUAGAGAAAUAGGAGGAGCCCUGCUAGUCUAAAGCUCGGUCGUAUCACGCUGAACAACUCCUUGUCUGGAAGCGGCGAGCCAUUUUCUUCUGGUUUCUGAUCGGCCUCUGAUCUGGGAGCCGACCUGCUUCUUCGGAACCGUUUAGCUCCUUCUGACGGCUUCCUUUGGAGCACGUCGGCGUUGUGGUUAUCAGGUAGCAAUGCUCGUUGAAUACUGUUGUCAGACAUUGGUUUAGGUUGCGAAUUGCCGUCACAAUCAAAAACCUAUUAUUCAGAGAAUGUCACACGUUACAGUAUUGGUGUUACAGAUAAGCGAGAAAGAAGUUUAGAAGCUCAUUAAAUAUCAGGUAAAAAUUAAGGCAAGACGGUGGAUAUGCACUGAAUUGCAUGGACAAUUGAGAGACAAUUUUUUUCCUAUCACCAUCAUUCUAAGCAUUGAAUUUUUAACUGCAG
rnacentral:lncRNA from 1 species